UACGUAGGGUGCAAGCGUUGUCCGGAAUUAUUGGGCGUAAAGAGCUCGUAGGCGGUUUGUCGCGUCUGCUGUGAAAACUCGGGGCUUAACUCCGGGCCUGCAGUGGGUACGGGCAGACUAGAGUGCGGUAGGGGAGACUGGAAUUCCUGGCGUAGCGGUGAAAUGCGCAGAUAUCAGGAGGAACACCGGUGGCGAAGGCGGGUCUCUGGACAGUUCCUGACGCUGAGGCACGAAGGCCAGGGGAGCAAACGGG
rnacentral:rRNA from 1 species